rnacentral:tRNA from 1 species
UAAACGGAGGCCAAAUAGAGGUG